CCGUGUCAGGCCCAACGACCAUAUUUUUCAAAUUUCAUCUUUUUGUGUUUUUGUGGACCCCACCCGAAAUUUUCACCACUUAAACACAUUUUACCCUUAAUCUACGAAUAAAAUUUGAUUUUCUUUCACUCUCUCUCAUUUUCACAUCAUACUUCUCAUUCCUCACAUUUUCUUAACCUUCCUCCAUAACCAAACUACCUUAAAGCUCCCAACUUUAGCACCUUACUCUGUC
rnacentral:lncRNA from 1 species